rnacentral:rRNA from 1 species
UUGGCGGACGGGUGAGUAACGCGUGGAAAACCUGCCGUAUACUGGGGGAUAACACUUAGAAAUAGGUGCUAAUACCGCAUAAGCGCACAGCUUCGCAUGAAGCGGUGUGAAAAACUACUGGUGGUAUACGAUGGUUCCGCGUCUGAUUAGCUAGUUGGUGGGGUAAUGGCCUACCAAGGCAACGAUCAGUAGCCGGCCUGAGAGGGUGAACGGCCACAUUGGGACUGAGACACGGCCCAAACUCCUACGGAAGGCAGCAG